rnacentral:rRNA from 1 species
AGGAAGUAAAAGUCGUAACAAGGUUUCCGUAGGUGAACCUGCGGAAGGAUCAUUAUUGAAUGAACUUGGUGUGGUUGUUGCUGGCCCUUUCGGGGGCAUGUGCACACCCAUCAUCCUCAUCUCUCCACCUGUGCACCUCUUGUAGACUUGGAUUGACUUUCCGAGGCAACUCGGUCGGGAGGACUUGCUGGCAUUAGCUGGCUUUCCUUGCAUUUCCAAGUCUAUGUUUUUCAUAUACCCCAUUGAAUGUAACAGAAUGUAACAUAUUGGGCCUUUGUGCCUAUAAAAACUUAUACAACUUUCAGCAACGGAUCUCUUGGCUCUCGCAUCGAUGAAGAACGCAGCGAAAUGCGAUAAGUAAUGUGAAUUGCAGAAUUCAGUGAAUCAUCGAAUCUUUGAACGCACCUUGCGCUCCUUGGUAUUCCGAGGAGCAUGCCUGUUUGAGUGUCAUUAAAUUCUCAACUAUUAUCAGCUUUUGCUGAUAAUGGCUUGGAUAUGGGGGUUUAUUUUGCUGGCUUCUUCACAGAUUGUCAGCUCCCCUUAAAUGCAUUAGCCGGUGCCCCGCGUGGACUGUCUAUUGGUGUGAUAAUUAUCUACGCCGUGGACAUCUACAAUCAUAAGGGUUUGCACUGCUUCCAACUGUCUGUUUAUUCAGACAAUACAUGACAAUUUGACCUCAAAUCAGGUAGGACUACCCGCUGAACUUAAGCAUAU